GUAAAGCUUCCUGAACCCCCGGGAGGCAGGAUCAAGCCUGGGCCGUGGACGCAGUGGUGUGCUGGUAAACAUCUAACUGCCGGCUCCCUGGCGGGUGAGGGAGGCCCCACUUUACAGCAUUGUGCAGUUUUGUGUUUUUGUUUUUGUUUCCUUUUGUGGAAAGCGCUCCCACCAUGGCAAGUUUUGCUAACAAGAUGGCAUGACUGAACGUGGAAUUGGGAAGAGGAAUCCCCAGCGGGCUCUCAGGAGCUAGAAGGAGCCUGCUCCAGCACACCGCCAAGGGGGUCAAUGCCUGGUCCACACGGCCACCUGCGCCUCCCUCCCCACUGGGGGCGUUGGAGUCCGAGGACACGCUUCAUUUCUCCUUACCGAUUAUGGAGUCAGGUGCCCAAGAAAGCACCUCCCUGUCUGCUCCCCUCCUCCACCUUCUUCUUGUCGACAAGUCCCGCUCCAGGGAUCUUCUAACCCUUGUGACACCUGGACAUACUCUCACUAACUUCACAAGCCACAGGCUUGUUCAUUCAGCACGGAGAGGGUUCUGUAUCAAGAAUCUCCCUUUGACUUCCAGUUCAAGAUGAUGGAGUAGAAAGAUGUGUGCUUAUCUCCUUGAGAACACCAACGUUGCAACUAGCUACUGAUCAACCGUCGACAGGAGGACACUGGAACCCACCAAAAGAGGAACCUCACAUCCAAAGACAAAGCAGAAGUCCUAACAAGACACAGGCAAGAUCUUAGUUCCCCAACCAGGGAUUGAACUCCCGCCACCUGCACCAGAAGCUUGGGGUCUCAACCACUGGACCGCCGUGAAAG
ensembl:lncRNA